CUAAAUAAAUCCUUAAAAUACAGAAUUUAAUAAAUACUGUAUAAACUCUAUAAUACGGCUAAGAUGCAAAUACAUUUGUGUCUUUAUUGUAAAUAAAGGAAAACAUCAUUUAAUGUAACUUUUACUGAUUACUUAAUAUAAUUCCUCUUCCCUGUUCUGUUUAACAACCGGAAUCUGAUUUACAGUUGAUUAAAAAUUGUAAUUUGAGAUACAAUUAUUAAAACUUUGUUAUAGUCUCACAGAAACGGAAACAGAAUUUUCUCAGAUUAAACACAGACUGAGAACUAUCUGAGUUUCGCAUUAUACACCAAAUUACAGAAAGUCAUUCGUUUUCUUGCGAACAGUUUAGUCCAUUUCCGUUUCAAACUAUUUUACACAUUUAGCUGAAGUCAGACGGUAUUUACUUGAACUGACAGUGUGUCAGUGAGUUCAGUUAGAGAAGUUAUAACACUCUGUAAAUCUGAUCUGAACAGACGCCCAUCUGUCAACGAUCAGUGAUCGAUUUUCAGUCAUUGAUGUCACUACUAAAGCUUAGUGCGGUGUAAUAAUCGGUCUGUUGAUCCAUCCGCAUUACUGUAUUUACAUUAUUUGUUGGUAUUUAUAUGGUAUAUGUAAGUAUUAGUUGAGUUUACUCACCAGUUGAACUUUUUUUUUACUGCACCACCGACCCUCAACACGAAUGAAAGUGAAAGAAAAUAUUAACUGAAAAGAGAAUAUAGUGAGCUGCCUUGUCCUACAUAGUGUUACAACCUCCAGAAAAUGUGUGGAUGAGGAUGUUGCCUUAACACUGUUAUUCACAUAUUUUACUGUAUCCUGCCAUUAUGCUAUCAACUACUCUCCUUUGUAAUGUAGUUUAUGCUGUGAUAUUAAUUAAUAUUAUAUACAUAGUUUGUUUUCGUCAGGUGUCCAUUUUGUGCCACCGGCGCCAUCUUGUGGAACCCCUGCAAACUCGAGCGGGGCAACCCAAAAAGCCGUUGGCACAGUCAGUGCCCCAAUCUGAACACAUAUAAUAGGCAGCCUUUAUGUUAGUAAGUAACAAACCGUGUUUUAAAAAAGUGAAUAAAUUGUGGCCAGUCUGCUGUAUUGUGUCCAGAUGUAUGAACCUUGGUACAAACUGGCUGUGAGACCCAAUGUUACCGAUUCAGGGUGGUCGAGGAGAAGGUGACGUGAUAUAUUGGCAGGGGUGUGUGGAAAACUUCUAAACUUGACCAGUAGACCCACCAACCAGACGUCACGUCAAGCUCUGGAUAAGAGACACAAAGAGCUCCAGAAACACAUCAGACAACAUCAGACAUCUGAACUCCAGACCAGAACCAGCCACAGCAUCCACUGGAGAGAGGUCAAAGGUCAUCGACCAGCAGUCUGAACGACCGGAAAAAGAUCAGUGAAAACAUUCACAUCUGACACCAGAGACGGAGUUGCCAUCUUCCCCAAAUACAACCAUCGGUUAUUCUAUACUUGGUCAUGUGAUAACAAUAAAACUGUCUCCUUGACAACUAAGCAACUCUCUCCACUGAGGAAGGCCACAAGAUGAAGCUGAAAGCUUCAGAGACAAGUUGGAGCUUGUGUUCAGAUUGUUUUGAUUUUUUUUUUAAAGAAGUCUUAUUUGUCUGGUAUUUAACAUUGUGGUCCUCCAUGCGGCUGACAUCAAUGACAUCAUCUGUCUCUUUCUUCAUUGGCCGUAGAGACAACAGUCAAUGUUCUCAGGCCUUAGUUUUUGGCAGACUGGCCCUUUAGCAAACACACUCUCCUUGGUGCUGUGGUCACUUCUGUAAAGUAUUUAAUAAACUGGACAUUCUUGAUCCAAACAGUUGUCUGAACUCUCAGAAACAGAAUUGACUUCAAUAAUGCUGUUGUGUGUUUACUUGUCUGCCUCAGCAGUAUUUGAGUAUCUGACCUUCUUGUCCUGAAUGUUACUUAACUGAUACUUGAACUAUUUAACUUUGUUAAUGUUGUGAGACUCUUGAACUUAAACUUGCAUCUGGAUAUUGAAUUGAGAUGUUUACAUGAAUGUUUUACUGAUUUAAUUGGAAAAGAAAAUAUACAGGUCAUUUGAAGGAACAAAGAUAAUAUUCAAACAAUAGUUUCUUCAAUUGUUAAUAAUGAAUAAGUAUGAAUAAAAAACAUUUGUUUAAGAUUCAGUGAAGUUUAUAAUAAACAUGUAACACAAAAUGUAACAAUAACCCAACAACUGAUAAUCAACAUGUUAAAACCAUUAAAAUUGGACAGAUGUUGAAAGAAAAAAUGUAAAAUUGAAUGAACUUGUAGUUUCUGGGUAAGUCAGGAGAGGCUCAGAAAUACUCAAAAAUAUUUAUUAGGAAGGACAUCAUUAAAAGUCACCAUCAGUCACUUCCUCAUUAUUUAUAUGGUUCAAGAUGAGUGAACCCCAGAGGACGAUUUCAAUCUAUUUUCCAUUUGCAGAUGCUCAUAUUUAUUAAUAUUCUGGCUUGUUGCUUUGUUAACUUACAUCUCUGAGAAUUUCUGUCCUUUUUCCUGAUUUGCCCAAAGAAUCAUUACAGAACAGAUACAGAUCACUGCAAACUAAACAUCAUAUUCAGUUCUAUCUUUACAUUCAUCAUUAGUUAAAUACACAACGAUCAUUACUUGUUGAAUCAAUCCCAGAACUGAUUUAAAGUCCCGUUUCUGCUCCUCUAACAGUUUCAGUGUCUUCAUCCUUUAGACUUGAUGAUCUUUCCUUCAUAAGCUUCCAGUGCAGCUUUAGUUUCCUCCCUCCAUUGAUGACAAACUGAAGCAUGAAGAAUCAAAGUAGAUGAAUAGAAGAAUGAACAAUUUGACUAUUUACAAUAAACACAAACAUUCCCUAAAUGUGGGGGAGGACAGGACAAAGAGUUGUGCCAAAGUAAAACAAAUCAAAAAACAUAAUUUGGCCUGAUUAAUCUCUACAUCUGGAGACAAAAACCCAACUUUCUCAUCUACAAAGUGACUCAAUAAAAACCAUCACAGUGGAGACACCAACCAAUAAACCUCGAGUAUCUAACAAACAGUUACCUACAUGAGUGAAAGUGUACAGAGUAGCACAACUUAUCUAAAGUCCUAAACCUCCCACCACAAACCUCUUAAACUCUUUAAGCUUAAACAGAGAAGCAGCAGCUCAGGAACAGACAAGUCAAGAACAGAGAAUGAGAGACGCUCUUGAUCUUGAUUUCUGCUCUUCUGUAGAGAGCUCUGGAUGAUGAUUGGUGCCUUCAGAUUUAUAUCAGCCAAUGAGUUUUCAUACAGACACCCACAGGUGGAAACUAUUUACUGACAUCACCUGCAGAGAGAAGAGGAAUGAGAGAGAGAAACAGAGAGAGAAGAACAUACAACAUACAAACGCACACACACAGUUCCCCUGAUGACACCGAACACCAAACCUAAAUGUUAAAAUGACAAAGUGAGUUUAACCCCUCAGACUGCAGACCUCCCCAAUACAAACUCUUAAACAUAAUAUUUAUGUGAAUACAUUAAAUGUUAGAAGGCACUAUUAUAUGUCAUCUAUGACCAGUGAGGUGUCAAAUGUCUGCAUCACUGCUGGAUGAUGUCAAAUGUAUUUGUUCUACUGUAGACAUAAAACUAGUGCAACACUUUAUAUUUAUGAGGAUAUUCUAAUAUGGAAAUUAUCUAUUUAUUUGUUUAUUGUUACGUAG